rnacentral:lncRNA from 1 species
GACAGAGUCCGCUUUCACUGAAGCACAUUGUCAAAGAAGCGCUGUCUUUUUAAAUAAACUGCCGAUUCGAGUUUAAAACAACUACAUUCUCGCCUGAAAUACUCUUAAAACUACAUUUUGUGAAACAUUAGAUGAUAUUUUUUUUAACUUGCGGGUCUGCACAGCGGGGCAUUGUCCAUUGACUUUCACUUAGCAUUAGCAGCCAGCAAAUUUGAAUUCGUGUUGUCCAAUAGGAUUUUUGCCCGCGCCGUGCAUUCAUAAUGCCAUCUGAUUACGUGUGACGGUUAAUCUCCAGCUGUUGCACUGUUGUUCUGACGCUCUUCUCGGCGUCGAUGGAGGAUGGACCUGAAGGACGCAAAGAAGCUGGAAGACGAAGCACAGACAUUUGCAGAAAAUGAAGUGGACGAGGAAGCAGUAGAGUGUAAUAACGUGAUUCCUGCAAUUGGUGAGGAUGCAUCAUCUUUUGAGAGUAAUGCGAAUGUCCUGUGUAUCCAGUGAAAUAAGUAAUGGUGAACCUGACUGAAUGCAUUCAUCAACCAUCUCCAACCAAGUCAGAGCUUCAAGGACAGCUUGUGCUAAAGGUGCCUGAGCUUGAUUAAGAAAAAAAGCAUCUCCACUGGCCAAAGUCUACAAAAAAGCAAGAGAAUAGAAGUUUGCAGAUGAUCUAACAG